CUACAUAGGGGGCAAGCGUUAUCCGGAAUUAUUGGGCGUAAAGGGUGCGUAGGCGGUCUAUUAAGUCUGAGGUGUAAGUGCAGGGCUCAACCCUGUGAUGCUUUAGAAACUGGUAGACUUGAGUGAGAUAGAGGCAAGUGGAAUUCCAUGUGUAGCGGUAAAAUGCGUAAAUAUAUGGAGGAACACCAGUGGCGAAGGCGGCUUGCUGGGUCUAUACUGACGCUGAGGCACGAAAGCGGGGGGAGCAAACAGGAUUAGAUACCCUGGUAGUCCACGCCGUAAACGAUGAGUACUAAGUGUUGCGAGAACGCAGUGCUGAAGUUAACAUAUUAAGUACUCCGCCUGAGUAGUACGUACGCAAGGAUGAAACUCAAAGGAAUUGACGGGG
rnacentral:rRNA from 1 species